rnacentral:rRNA from 1 species
ACUCCUACGGGAGGCAGCAGUAGGGAAUCUUCCACAAUGGGCGCAAGCCUGAUGGAGCAACACCGCGUGAGUGAAGAAGGGUUUCGGCUCGUAAAGCUCUGUUGUUAAAGAAGAACACGUAUGAGAGUAACUGUUCAUACGUUGACGGUAUUUAACCAGAAAGUCACGGCUAACUACGUGCCAGCAGCCGCGGUAAUACGUAGGUGGCAAGCGUUAUCCGGAUUUAUUGGGCGUAAAGAGAGUGCAGGCGGUUUUCUAAGUCUGAUGUGAAAGCCUUCGGCUUAACCGGAGAAGUGCAUCGGAAACUGGAUAACUUGAGUGCAGAAGAGGGUAGUGGAACUCCAUGUGUAGCGGUGGAAUGCGUAGAUAUAUGGAAGAACACCAGUGGUGAAGGCGGCUACCUGGUCUGCAACUGACGCUGAGACUCGAAAGCAUGGGUAGCGAACAGGAUUAGAUACCCUGGUAGGCUACCG